ACAACCUCAACUCUUCUUCAUUGCGGAGAAGAGUUGGAUUUGAGCAUUUCCACAGGUCUUCACAACUUGAGGAUUGCUUGAAAUACGAGGUUCGGCCGGCAAUUGCCUGGGCUACAAGCAUUUCAUACUUAAUCCCGUCAAACGGAUUAUAUCCUUUGCUGCAGCCAACAUACAGGGCAACUUGCCAGUGUUCCGACUGAUGCAGGAAAGUUGGGAAGCUCUCUUUGCUUCUCUUCUAA
rnacentral:misc_RNA from 1 species